AUUGAACGCUGGCGGCAGGCCUAACACAUGCAAGUCGAGCGAGCGGCGGACGGGAGAGUAAUGGAUGGGGACGGCACGAUAGAGGGGGAUAACUACUGGAAACGGUGGCUAAUACCGCAUACUAUCGGAUAACCCAGAUGGGAUUAGAUAGUAGGUGGGGUAAAGGCUCACCUAGGAGGAGACCUCUAGCUGGUCUGAGGGGAUGAUCAGCCAAACCGGGACUGUGACACGGCCCAGUCUCCUACGGAGGCAGCAGUGGGGAAUAUUGCACAGUGGGGUGAAGCCUGAUGCAGCCAUGCCGCGUGUAUGAAGAAGGCCUUAGGGUUGUAAAGUACUUUCAGCGGGGAGGCGUUACCCGAAGAAGAAGCACCGGCUAACUCCGUGCCAGCAGCCGCGGUAAUUG
rnacentral:rRNA from 1 species